UGCAAUGAAGCAUUGAAAUGAGGAAUAAGUACCAAUCAUCCAAAUUACAGUUUAUACUGAAAAUUCCUUGAAUUAGGCAACAUUUAUGUAAGUCAUGGUAGCAAUGUUUUGUUUUGGAGAAUAGAUGAUGGAAGGACAUCUAUUUUCAAGAAAGUCUGCAUCAUUUUUGUCAAAUAGUGGCUGUCAUUUUUAACAGUCAGGAUAAAUAAGGAAAAUAAUUUUCCUUUUUAGAGGAUUACUGAUGCCAGCAAGGAGCUCUUUACUGUGUGAUCACCUUGACCUGGAUAUUUUAUUCAGGACCAGAGCAGGUAAAUUACAAGUAUAUCAGCAUAUUUCAGAUAUGUAUGAAAUAAUAUUUCAUUAGCACUGGAAUCACUUCAUUGCUGUAUACAGAUGGAUGCUAUGUCGCACUUCAGAUACUAUUGUUGCUCACACUUGGUUGCAGACAUUGUGCAUUUAGAUGGAUUUUGCUGCAUGCCAUUCACAUUGGAAAAAGGAGUGCUUCAUUCAUUCUUUUCUGGUCUGAAUUGGAAUUCCAAAUAUUCCUUUUUCCUCCUUUUGGUUUGGGGUUGAAAUACUUUCACGUGCCUCUAAGACCAGAAAUGAGAAUACUGUAGUUCUUUAAGAUCCAGUAGGAAGCAAAUGAAAUUUCUGAGAAUAAUGAUGGGACAAAACCACUUCAAGUCUGUGAACUGCCAUCUGCCUAGAACUCUCAUUAAAAGUAGUGAGACUGUUUGCUAGACCAA